GACGAACGCUGGCGGCGUGCUUAACACAUGCAAGUCGAACGGAAAGGCCCUGCUUUUGUGGGGUGCUCGAGUGGCGAACGGGUGAGUAACACGUGAGUAACCUGCCCUUGACUUUGGGAUAACUUCAGGAAACUGGGGCUAAUACCGGAUAGGAGCUCCUGCUGCAUGGUGGGGGUUGGAAAGUUUCGGCGGUUGGGGAUGGACGCGCGGCUUAUCAGCUUGUUGGUGGGGUAGUGGCUGACCAAGGCUUUGACGGGUAGCCGGCCUGAGAGGGUGACCGGCCACAUUGGGACUGAGAUACGGCCCAGACUCCAACGGGAGGCAGCAGGGGGGAAUAUUGCACAAUGGGCGGAAGCCUGAUGCAGCAACGCCGCGUGCGGGAUGACGGCCUUCGGGUUGUAAACCGCUUUCGCCUGUGACGAAGCGUGAGUGACGGUAAUGGGUAAAGAAGCACCGGCUAACUACGUG
rnacentral:rRNA from 1 species